ACGGGAGGCAGCAGUGGGGAAUAUUGGGCAAUGGGCGAAAGCCUGACCCAGCAACGCCGCGUGAAGGAAGAAGGCCUUCGGGUUGUAAACUUCUUUUACCAGGGACGAAGGACGUGACGGUACCUGGAGAAAAAGCAACGGCUAACUACGUGCCAGCAGCCGCGGUAAUACGUAGGUUGCAAGCGUUGUCCGGAUUUACUGGGUGUAAAGGGAGCGUAGACGGCUUUGCAAGCCUGAAGUGAAAGCCCGGGGCUCAACCCCGGAACUGCUUUGGAAACUGUAGAGCUAGAGUGCAGGAGAGGUAAGUGGAAUUCCUAGUGUAGCGGUGAAAUGCGUAGAUAUUAGGAGGAACACCAGUGGCGAAGGCGGCUUACUGGACUGUAACUGACGUUGAGGCUCGAAGGCGUGGGGAGCAAACAGGAUUAGAUACCCUGGUA
rnacentral:rRNA from 1 species